rnacentral:misc_RNA from 1 species
UCUCCGUAGGUGAACCCGCGGAAGGAUCAUUAAAGAGAUGCUGACCUCACGGGUAGUCCUCCCACCCCUUGCUUACAAUACCUUUCUGGCUUUCCCCGGUCCCCUUGGCCCCGCGCCGUACAACCCGCCCCCGCUGGGCACUUCACUCCUGAGAAUCGAAAACCUCUAUUUAUAUUUCGUCUUAAUACGAUGUAACAGUUAAAACUUUCAACAAUGGAUCUCUUGGUGCUGGCAACGACGACAGACCCGACAGACCGGAAUAGGACACGUAGUAACUCC